CUCUAAAAUUUAGUAAAAUCAACAAACCUAUCUAUAUUACUAAUAUUUCAUUCAAAAUAUAGUUCAAAUGCCAACUUUACCUUCCUUAUCACUAAAAGAAAAGGUAGUUGUGGAAGCGGCUAUUAGUUAUUAUAGAACCGCCUCUACGAUUUUCAGAGGCGAUUCCUAUAAUCGCCUUUAGACCGCUGGUAUAAACAGCGCCUCUAUAAUGUAAAUACAGUUUGAGCGAC
rnacentral:lncRNA from 1 species